rnacentral:rRNA from 1 species
CCUACGGGAGGCAGCAGUGGGGAAUAUUGCACAAUGGGGGAAACCCUGAUGCAGCGACGCCGCGUGAGUGAAGAAGUACUUCGUUAUGUAAAGCUCUAUCAGCAGGGAAGAAAAUGACGGUACCUGUGCCAUAAGCCACGGCUAACUUCGUUCCAGCAGCCGCGGUAAUACGGAGGGGGCAAGCGUUAUCCGGAUUUACUGGGUGUAAAGGGAGCGUAGACGGCAGUGCAAGUCUGGAGUGAAAGGCGGGGGCUCAACCCCCGGACUGCACUGGAAACUGUAAGGCUGGAGUGCAGGAGAGGUAAGUGGAAUUCCUGGUGUAGCGGUGAAAUGCGUAGAUAUUAGGAGGAACACCAGUGGCGAAGGCAGCUUACUGGACUGUAACUGACGUUGAGGCUCGAAAGCGUGGGGAGCAAACAGGAUUAGAUACCCCUGUAGUC